UACAGAGGUCUCAAGCGUUGUUCGGAUUCAUUGGGCGUAAAGGGUGCGUAGGUGGCGCUGUAAGUCAGGUGUGAAAUUUCGGAGCUUAACUCCGAAACUGCAUUUGAUACUGCGGUGCUUGAGGACUGGAGAGGAGACUGGAAUUUACGGUGUAGCAGUGAAAUGCGUAGAUAUCAAGUGGAACACCAGUGGCGAAGGCGAGUCCCUGGACACUUCCUGGCACUGAGGCACGAAAGCUAGGGGAGCAAACAGG
rnacentral:rRNA from 1 species